GCUUGUCUCAAAGAUUAAGCCAUGCAUGUCUAAGUAUAAACGACUUUAUACAGUGAAACUGCGAAUGGCUCAUUAAAUCAGUUAUAGUUUAUUUGAUAAUACCUUACUACUUGGAUAACCGUGGUAAUUCUAGAGCUAAUACAUGCUACACAACCCGACUUCUGGAAGGGUGGUACUGAUUAGAUACAAAACCAAUCCGGGCAACCGGUCCUUUGGUGAUUCAUGAUAACUUUGCGAAUCGCAUAGCUUUAAUGCUGGCGAUGGGUCAUUCAAAUUUCUGCCCUAUCAACUUUCGACGGUAGGAUAGAGGCCUACUGUGGUGAUAACGGGUAACGAAGAAUAAGGGUUCGAUUUCGGAGAGGGAGCCUGAGAAACGGCUACCACAUCCAAGGAAGGCAGCAGG
rnacentral:rRNA from 1 species